rnacentral:rRNA from 1 species
ACGAGUAGGGCUACACACGUGCUACAAUGGCGCAUACAGAGGGCGGCCAACUUGCGAAAGUGAGCGAAUCCCAAAAAGUGCGUCGUAGUCCGGAUUGGAGUCUGCAACUCGACUCCAUGAAGUCGGAAUCGCUAGUAAUCGUGGAUCAGAAUGCCACGGUGAAUACGUUCCCGGGCCUUGUACACACCGCCCGUCACACCAUGGGAGUGGGCUGCAAAAGAAGUAGGUAGUUUAACCUUCGGGGGGACGCUUACCACUUUGUGGUUCAUGACUGGGGUGAAGUCGUAACAAGGUAGCGCUAGGGGAACCUGGCGCUGGAUCACCUCCUUAAACGAUGAU